rnacentral:rRNA from 1 species
UACGUAGGGUGCAAGCGUUAAUCGGAAUUACUGGGCGUAAAGCGUGCGCAGGCGGUUGUGUAAGACAGAUGUGAAAUCCCCGGGCUCAACCUGGGAACUGCAUUUGUGACUGCACAGCUGGAGUGCGGCAGAGGGGGAUGGAAUUCCGCGUGUAGCAGUGAAAUGCGUAGAGAUGUGGAGGAACACCGAUGGCGAAGGCAGCCCCCUGGGAUGAGACUGACGCUCAUGUACGAAAGCGUGGGGAGCAAACAGG